AGAAUUCUGAGUGGGCACCUGUUUUUUUCCUUCUUUUCCAGAAUUCCGAGAAAAAAGUCAGAAUUCUGAGAAAAAGUCAGAAUUCUGAGAUUAAUCUCAGAAUUCUGACUUUUUCCUCAGCAUUAUUUUUUCUCAGAAUUCUGACUUAAAUCUCAGAAUUUAUCAGAUUCUGAGUGGGGACAUGUUUUUUUUUUUUCCAGGAUUCUGAGAUUAAAGUCAGAAUUCUGAGAAAAAAUUUUUCAGAAGAAACAGUCAGAAUUCUGAGAUUUAAAAGAGCAGUCCCGCAUUUUAUUGUGAAGAACUAAGGAUUUUAAGAGGAAGUGAAUUUGGCUGUGAUCGGUAGCAGGACUGAGAGACGUUGCAAGGGGAAGUAUGAGAAGUUUGUGCCAGUGCGUACUGGUCUAUAUGCUCAACUGUAUUUGUCUAUGCGCACAUUUUGCAAACUGUGACAAGCUGAGGACAUUUCUGCUCCAAAUCUACCAGGGAUUCCUACUCUGCAUUCCUUUACACUUAACUGUUUCUGUACAGUGAACAUGCUCUCCACCUUCUGAAAACAUGGGUCUACAGAGCCUAUAGAAGCAUUAUAAAAACAAAGUUGUCCACAACAACUGCAUAUGGCCCGUACACAGAGGUCCUACAGAUGUCAACACUAGACAUUCAGUAGGUGUAAAAAAAAAAGAAAAAAAAAAGAGGUCAGCUUGCAUUACAAAACAACCCCUUCAGUGGACCAAAAUUUUAUGUCCAAGAAUCCAAUCCAACUUUAUUUAUAGAGCACUUUAAAAACAACAUGGUUGACCAAAGUGCGUUCCAGUAAAAAACUGUGAUAAAAGUUAAGUUAAACCACACAUUAAACAAAGAAAAUUAAAUAGCAAUAAAAUAAAUAAAUACAUGAAAAAAAGAUAAAAAAAUGAAUCAGUAAAUAUUAAAACAUGAUUAAAAUAGACAAUAAAGUAUAAAAUAAAUAAAAUUAAAAAGUAAAAAAGAUCAAAAGCAACCAAAAACUGACUAAAACUGACUACAAGCUGACUCUGGUCCUACCCCCAAAAAACGCCUUGGAAAAAAGGUUUGUUUUUAAAAGUCAUUUGAAAAUUUCAAGUGUUGGGGCCAGCCUAAUAUAUGGAGGGGCAACUUUUCCAUAAUUUGGGGGCCACAACAGCGAAAGUUCUGUCCCCCCAGUUUUUCAGUCUUGACAUGGGGAAACAAGGAGUGACUGGUCAGUUCAUCUGAGAGACCUUUGUGCACUGUAUAGGUGUAGCAGCCCUGCCAGGUAGGCAGGCCUGGCCAUUUAAAACUUUAAAAGCAAUCAAUAAAAUUAAAAAAAAAUUCUAAUAGACAGACAACCCGUGUAAAGAGGGAAGAACGGGGGGUAAUGUACUCAUGUUUGCGUGUACAUUUUAAGGUUAUAAACAGGUAAACCAUGUGACAAAACUGGAUCCAGAGUGUGUCCAUGUUUAUGUGUGGGACCAGUCGCAAACAUUAAAAGCAUCAAGUAAAAAAGUCCUUUGCCAGU
ensembl:lncRNA